rnacentral:ncRNA from 1 species
UAAAAAUUUGGUUUUAGUUUAAAUUUAGCUAAUAUUAGAAGGAACACAUGAUAGCUUUGCGAGUCUGCAAUUAAGUCCUGUUUUUGUUAUAUUUUAUAAAGAUUAUUUCUAUGGGCGGGCUAGAAAUCAAGGAAAUUAAUAACAAUCAUUUUUGCAACAUCAGUGUAUAAUAUUAAAAAAAGAGGCAACUGUGUUUUAGUCAUAAUUUUUAAGGCUAGUUAAAUUUGUGCCAGCAACUGCGGUUAGACAAUAAGCCUAAGUUAAAUAUAGCGGUAAAAAGUAGUUAUAAAUGUUUAACAAGCGGGCUACAUUACAUUUAGUUUAAAGGUAAAAUUUAAAAACUAUAAAGUAAAUCGAAAUUAACCGAUUUUUAGAAGCUACGAAAAUUUUAACUAAGACUGGGAUUAGACACCCCAUUAUUUAAAUUGUAAAUUUGAAACUACCCGGGUAUUACGAACAGAAAUAGUUUAAAACCCAAAAAACUUGGCGGUGCUUUAUAUCUUUCUAGGGGAACCUGUCCUAUAAUCGAUAAUCCACGAUAAACCUCACUUUAUUAAAAUGUUAAUGAGUUUGUGUACUGCCGUCGUCAGCCUACACUUAAGGUUGUAAUAGUUGGCUAAAUAAUUCUUUUGUUUCUACGUCAGGUCAAAGUGCAGCUGAUAUUAAAGUAGAGAUGGGUUACAAUUUUUAUUUGAAAUUACGUAAGAUUUAUUGAAAUAUAAAUUAAAGGCGGACUUAGAAGUAAUUUUUUUUUAGAAUAAAAUGAUGAAUAUAGCUCUAAGGUGUGUACAUAUCGCCCGUCACUCUCUUUAAAAUAAGAGAUAAGUCGUAACAUAGUAGGGGUAGCUGAAGCUGUUCCU